CCGAUGGUGGUCCACCAAACCAAUUAGUUCCUAAGCCAGAUCCUGCCAUCCAAUCUAAUGAAUCGCUACCAUUUUGCCAUUCGCAGAGAGACAACGAUGGAAGUGGACCAAAAUCACAGAAGACUUCGUCUAUCAUCGCGAUUGAAAGUGAUGCAGAAAAUGGAAGCUGCUUGGUCACCAAUUCGUAAAGAAUAACACCCAUACUCCAUACGUCCGAUUUUAAGUCGUACGGUUGAUUCGAAAGCAUUUCUGGAGCCAUGUAGCAGUAAGAUCCAGCACAACACAUGGACUCCCUAAAGUAUAAAAAAGAAAUUGCAUUACCGAUCUAUAUAGGACCUAAGGACUCUUCAGGAAUUACAAGACUUUUGUAAAAGAGUUUUGGAGUUGCUGAUGUACGUGAUUGCUUCAAAGUAUCCAAAUAUUCCUGCUGUGAUGUCGCUAAUACUUGCGAAAGAACAUCGCUAUCUUCCCAGUCUGUCAAACCUAUAACACGUCACGAUGUUAUUAUGUGAUAUUUAAUAAAAUAAGUAGAAUAUAAUAUGAGAUCAAUAGAUAAGUUAUCAUUAAAUAAGAACGUUUAGGUUUACGUAUAAAUUUUAUUACCAAAUACUUCCGGAGGAAGACGAUUGAACAGUGAAAUAUCAGGCGAUGUAUGUGCUUCCUUACUACUUCCUGGUACAGGUUCUUGUGGCAUUAUCUUUGUUUCAAAGUCUGAUGGUGGAAGAUGAGUUAUAUUAGAACCUUGAGGAGAUUGAUGCUGUGGAGACCUCUUAUACCAUACAGUAUCUGGGACCUGUAGAUGUAAUAAAUUCUUUUUUUGUAUUUUCUUCUAAAGUCGCUAAUCGUUAUAAUAACGUUUGGACCUUUGGAGAAUUGCGCAUAGUAUCUUGGCUAGUUUGAGUGGUGGUCGGAGAAGAAGUAUGACUGCGUUGUUGUCCGCGAUUUCCAUGGGAAUGAAAAUGUGCAUGGCUAUGUUGUGCACUUGUAACCGUACUUGUACUGCUGCUACUUGCUGAUCGCUGAAUUUAACAAAUAUAUCAAGUUAGUAUUGUUCGAAGAUUCUUAAUUUUAUAUAUAUAUAUAUAUAUAUUGUACUUACGGCUUUACGCAUUUCAUUGUCUCGUAACCAUUGUAAAUAACUUUCUCUAGCAACUUGUUCUUCUAUUGCUUCAUUGGUUGCUUCCCAAUCAGUAGCUUUUAUUUUAUCUUCAAGCAUUGUCUGUUUCAGGAUAACAUGUUAUAAAAAGAUUUAAUUAUUUUCCACUUAGAUAAAAGAUUAACUUAAUUUACCUGUUCAAUAUGUAACUCUUCACUUUGUCGUACCGCGUCCGAUAUAAGUUCACGAUCUGCGGAACCAGGAUUGAAUGAUGGUAAACCCAACCCAACACCAAUAGUAGCUUUAUAUGGAUCUACUAUACUGUUAUAAUGACUGCCACGUUGAUACGACAAUCGUAUAGGUUCAUUGUCACUUUUUACCAUUGUAUGGAAAAUAUUAAUGGGUUCUAUAAUAUAAUAUUUUAAAAUUGUAAA